GCUCCCUUUUUUAAGAAGUGCUAUACAUCCGGCAGCCAACACUAGCUUUGUGAUAUCCAAAAUCACAAAAAACAGGAAGUAAUUUGCAUAUCCACCUUGGAUAUUCAGCCUGACUUUGAUGUACAAAACAACAAAGAAACAGCAAAUGAGUUGGUUAGUCUACAAACUGUAUGAAGUUGAUUUCAUGCUACGACGUCUGUUCUGUGGAGCGUUUGGGUGCUCAGGAUUGGUGGGACACUGACAUGAGUCGCUUCACUGACACAGAUUUUCAAAAUCAUUUUUGCAUAUCAAGAACUGUUGCCUACAUCUGAGACUGACCCCUAUUCGUGAAGCAUGGUGCCUGCAGGACACCAGAGGAGACAACCGGCAUCUUCAGUGAGAACGGAAGCGGCACUUGCCUUCAUGCUCCAGCGCUUUCUGCACGCUUGGGAAGAUGGCAGCAAGAGGGGACGGUGUAGGCUUACUGGCCAAAACAGCUUUUUCAACUCACGCAAAUGAAAAAGUCAAAGACAUCAAGGAACUGGCUAAAUAUUGAUGACGACAUUAUCUCAACUACAAGGAAAUAAAAGACAACUUUUGACGCAGCUUGAAGUCAACAACAAUCAACAGAAACAACUCCACAAUAAAGAGACGAUAUUCAACAAUAUUGAUCAUCACCAAUAAACAGUUGCUCAAUUUAUAUCCAAAUAUCCUUUACUUGUCACUUACAUAGAGGUACAAGCAAAAUUGUGCAAUCACCCGUCCAUACAUAUAGAACAUACCACACAACAUGACGGGGGCAGACAA